ACGAACGCUGGCGGCAUGCCUAACACAUGCAAGUCGAACGAAGGUUUCACUUCGGUGGAGCCUUAGUGGCGCACGGGUGAGUAACACGUGGGAAUCUGCCUUCUGGUUCGGGAUAACGUCUGGAAACGGACGCUAACACCGGAUAAGCCCUCCUUUCUUGGCGAUUGGGGGGGAAAGUUUACGCCAGAAGAGGAGCCCGCGUCCGAUUAGGUAGUUGGUGGGGUAACGGCCUACCAAGCCGACGAUCGGUAGCUGGUCUGAGAGGAUGAUCAGCCACACUGGGACUGAGACACGGCCCAGACUCCUACGGGAGGCAGCAGUGGGGAAUAUUGGACAAUGGGGGCAACCCUGAUCCAGCAAUGCCGCGUGAGUGAUGAAGGCCUUAGGGUUGUAAAGCUCUUUCGCACGCGACGAUGAUGACGGUAGCGUGAGAAGAAGCCCCGGCUAACUUCGU
rnacentral:rRNA from 1 species